CUUGUCCUCUGCCCCCUCCAGCCUUUCUACCUGCUUAGCGUUGCCAACCCAGAAGGUCACAGAGUGGAAAUGGAGGAACCGGCCUCUCUCAGGCUGAAGGACGGAAGAAGGAUGAAGUUGAAUUCCUGGAAUGUUGGCAUUUUUCAAAAUUCUACCACUGGGCUGGUGAGAUGGCUCAGCGGGUGAAGGCACUUGUCAAUCAGCCCGACGACUGGAGUUUAAUCAAAGGAAAUCACCUACUCCUACAUGUUACCCUUCAACCUCUAUCUCGUGCUGUGGCUUGCGUGUGUGCACACACGUGAAUAAAUAAGUAAAUAGAUGACAUUUAAUUGGGGCUGGCUUACCGGUUCAGAAGUUCGGUCCAGUAUCAUCAAGAAUUGCCUGUCCAGCACCCUCUCUGGCCGGUGGAUUACAUGGAAUAGAACGGGCCUAUGAGAAUCCUCAUGACUGAAUCAAGGAUGGAUAAAGUUUGCCCUAGCCUUCAGAAAGUUCCUCUGAGUUCUGGAUCUGCUGUGCAUAACAGAUGAUGCUCUGGUGGCCAUGCUGAAGUCUGGAGAGAGAAGGUCAGCACAGAGAAAGGAGAGCCGUGGAGACAUGUCACAGGGUUGCAGUCUCUGAGCCUCUUGCUCCAUGUGUGCUUCUCCCUGAGCCUAGUGUCCCGUUUGCUCAAGUUUGAGCUGGCUUUCUAGCAUUCACAGUACACACAAAGCUACUAACUACAUUUACAUGGAGUGUUUCUUCACCUUCCUGGGGUGGAGGAGUCUGAUCCAUCAAGGAGAAAUAUCUUUUUCAUAUGUGUGUGUGUAUGUGUGUAUACAUAUGGGUCAGGGUUUCUCUGUGGAAUCCUGGCUCUUCUGGUACUCGAUCUGUAGACCAG